GACGAACGCUGGCGGCGCGCUUAACACAUGCAAGUCGAACGUGAAGCCGGGGCUUGCCCCGGUGGAAAGUGGCGAACGGGUGCGUAACACGUGAGCAACCUGCCCCGAAGACUGGGAUAACACCGGGAAACCGGUGCUAAUACCGGAUGCCCUCUUCUGAUCGCAUGGUCGGAUGAGGAAAUGGAUUCCGCUUCGGGAUGGGCCUCG
rnacentral:rRNA from 1 species